ensembl:rRNA 5S_rRNA 5S ribosomal RNA
GACAGAGCCACAUCUCCCUGCCGUUCUCACCUGGUUUCCCACUGAACCUAAGCAGGGUUGAGCCUGACCAGUACCUGGAUGGGAGACCUCCUGGGGAAAACUAAGGUUGCUGCUGGAA